rnacentral:rRNA from 1 species
AGAGACAGCAGUAGCCGCGGGAACACGAAGGGUGCAAGCGUUACUCGGAAUUACUGGGCGUAAAGCGUGCGUAGGUGGUGGUUUAAGUCCGUUGUGAAAGCCCUGGGCUCAACCUGGGAAUUGCAGUGGAUACUGGGUCACUAGAGUGUGGUAGAGGAUAGUGGAAUUUCCGGUGUAGCAGUGAAAUGCGUAGAGAUCGGAAGGAACAUCUGUGGCGAAGGCGACUAUCUGGGCCAACACUGACACUGAGGCACGAAAGCGUGGGGAGCAAACAGGAUUAGAUACCCCUGUAGUCCCUGUCUCUUAUAC